rnacentral:lncRNA from 1 species
AUCACCGGGCGAAAAAGCCCGGUGCGAGCGAGCCUAGCCGUUUCGGCCGGGUCUCUUCAUUGGCUGUGCGUGGAGAGGAGCGGGGUGAAUGACAGCGCGGGGGAGGGGCGGAGAGGGGGAGAGGGAGGCCGGGAGCCGAGACUGAUGCAGGAGCCAGACACAGAGGGACGGAGACCGAGGCUCGGAGAAGUAGUUCAGGAAGAGAGAGAAGAAGGGAUUCAGAGACUUAAAAGGAGAAAAAGAACAGGAGGCGGCCAUUCCCAGAGACCCUGUAUAAACAGACGGACCCGAGGAGGUGGAGGACAGAGACCUCUUCCCAGCCUGGCAGGAGUCUCCCCACUUUGAAUUGGGCCAAAGGGGUCCAGCUUGCUAGGCCUCUGGGGAAGGGUGUCCGUGAGCUACUGGAGAACCUCCCCAAGGGCUCCGCUGGGAAGCACCUGUCCUUCAACAAGAGGAUUUACUCCAAACUUCAGGCCUGGCUUGUUAGAAAGUAGAAGACUGUCUACUCCCCAGGUAUGGAGCACAGGCCACUGAGGCGGGAAGAUGAGAACACUGAGGUACUGAAAGCCAGGAAGAGACAGGAGCUAGACUCAAAUGCUGUUUUUCUGCCUCCGAUCAUUAGAAGCUGAUUUCUCGACAUCAAACUUGGUAGAUGUGGCCCUUGCUUUGCAGGAGUAUCUUGCACACACAUCUAGCUCUUCUCCCACUCUGACAUCCUCUGCUCCAGUGCUAGCAGUUGAGACUCAUAGUGCCCUAACCACGGAAAGCUCCCUGAUGUGUGGCUGGGAAAUAUCUCCUCUGUCCAAGGUGGCCUUC